UACGUAGGUGGCAAGCGUUGUCCGGAUUUAUUGGGUUUAAAGGGUGCGUAGGCGGCUUUGUAAGUCAGUGGUGAAAUACUCUAGCUUAACUAGAGGGGUGCCAUUGAUACUGCAGAGCUUGAGUACAGAUGAGGUAGGCGGAAUUGACGGUGUAGCGGUGAAAUGCAUAGAUAUCGUCAAGAACACCGAUGGCGAAGGCAGCCUUCUGGGCCAAUACUGACGCUCAUGCACGAAAGCGUGGGGAGCAAACAGG
rnacentral:rRNA from 1 species